AAGGAAAUAAUAUUAUACUGAAAUGACUAGAUGCAGAGUUAGAACAUAAACCACAUAUCAAAAUCCAAAACAACAAACCAUGAUGUCACUGAAAACCAUGACAAAACUGAAAACACUGGGUCAGGACCAUGACAGAAACAACUGUGAACAUGAGGACACUAAAUAAAGAAUAACACUUGAAUGCAUUGCUGCAAAAAUGACAUUAUGAUUUUACAAUUGAUGGUGAGAUUCCUAACAAUCUAGAGAAUUUUCAGCAGUGAGUGGAGUGAUUCACAAAGCAGACAGCAGUGCACUGUUGGUCAGCGAAAGGCGUGAAGUCUAUAUGUUUGCAAUGAGUCACCUGCUGCUUCUUUUCUCCUGUACGUGAACAGCUUAAUAAGCAUUGCAGGUUCAUGGAACCCCCGCG
ensembl:lncRNA